UACGGAGGGAGCUAGCGUUGUUCGGAAUUACUGGGCGUAAAGCGCACGUAGGCGGCUUUGUAAGUUAGAGGUGAAAGCCCGGAGCUCAACUCCGGAACUGCCUUUAAGACUGCAUCGCUUGAAUCCAGGAGAGGUGAGUGGAAUUCCGAGUGUAGAGGUGAAAUUCGUAGAUAUUCGGAAGAACACCAGUGGCGAAGGCGACUCGCUGGACAGACAUUGACGCUGAGGUGCGAAAGCGUGGGGAGCAAACAGG
rnacentral:rRNA from 1 species